UUUUUGCAAUCAAAGCCUAGUCGCAAUCGAGCGAGCAGCACAAUCGCAUCACGUUAUCUUACAAUAUCUUCGGAAAUCGGAAAUGGAUCGUUGGGCAGGAAAAGUGGCCGUUGUGACCGGAGCAAGUUCCGGCAUUGGAGCCGGUAUCGCAAAGGAUUUGGCCAAGGCCGGAAUGGUGGUCGUUGGCCUGGCACGCCGAGUGGAACGUGUUGAAGCGUUAAAAGCGGAUUUACCGGAAUCAGCUAGAAGUCGGCUACAUGCGGUUAAGUGCGACGUGUCCAAGGAGGAGAACAUCCAACAGGUGUUCCAAUGGGUGGAGAAGAAGUUCGGGGGAGUUGACGUGUUGAUCAACAAUGCCGGAAUCCUGCGGCAAACGGACCUGUUGGAGGCCGGGAAUGCUCAAAUAUUGCGUGACACGUUGGAUGUCAAUGUGGUAGGGCUGGUGCUGUGCAGUCAGAUCGCUUAUCAAUCGAUGAAGAAGCGCUCGGUCGAUGGCCAUAUUGUGCAUAUCAAUAGUGUUGUCGGUCACAAAGUGGUCGAUUUUCCGCAAUUUAACGUCUAUCCUGCAACGAAGCACGCAGUCACAGCCAUCACGGAAACGAUGAGAAACGAAAUGAGGAAUGCCGGAUCCAAAAUUAAGGUUACGAGCAUUAGUCCAGGUGCGGUUAGCACCGAAAUCAUACCGGAUGCAAUGCUAGGAGCAGGCCAUCCAAUGUUGGAAGCGGAGGACAUUUCAGAAGCUGUACUGUACGUUCUUGGAACACCUCCACGGGUACAAGUUCAUGAAUUGAUCAUUAAACCAGUUGGCGAAAAAUUUUAGUUACUGAAUCGAUGUGCUGUGUUGAUGUUGUUGUGGAAUCGAGUUACGUUACAUCAAAUCAUAGAAAUCAGCUGUCAACUCCUCCUCUUCUUGGCGUAAGUUCCUUUUGGAAUUACAGCAGGAUCCAUUGGAAGAACACAAGAAGAAUCAAGUCCAGGAGAAAUCCCAAAAAUAACUCCUUGAGAAAUAUUAGAAGGACCAUCUGGAGCCUGGAGGUAUUCCAGAAAAAACUGAAGGAAAACCACAAGGUGUCCCUUAAACAAUCCAGCGGUAAAUCCAGGAGAAAUUUCAGAGAAAAAAACCGCACAAACCCCUAAAAGAGUUUCUUGAGGAAUCUAUGAAAGAUCUUCUGAAAGAAUCAGAAGAUCCUUUUAGAGAAAACACAGGAAAAGAACAUUCACACCUCAUCCUACCUUACUAACAAAUCUUCCUUCUCGCAUUGGCGUAGCUAGAGAGGGGGCCUGGGGGGCCAGCCCCCCCAGAAUCCACUGCCCCCCCCCCCAGAAAUUUGUCAUGACUUUAUAUAUGGAAAUUAGAAAAAAUCUGAAAGCCAUUGUGUUAAUGAUAAACAUAGAUCUAUAAAAGAUAUUGAUUUGGCAUAAUAUGCGUUUAAAUUGGUAGUUAUUGGAGACUAUUUUCAACUUGUCACACUUUACAAGAUCAUUGUCCCAUUUAGACUAUGUGAUUGACUCUAUUAGCUUUGUUUGGAAAUAUGAUAGCAGAAAUAUGAAUUAGAAUUACAUAUAUAAAUAGCAA